rnacentral:lncRNA from 1 species
UGAGAGAGAACGCAUGCAAACAGAGAAAAGACUGCGACGAGGAGGAGUAGUCUCAUUGUAUCGCUACCACCAGCUAGACCCAACGUAGAGGACAAAGAACAAAAAGUUGCUGUGCUGUAUAUGCAAUGAUAUCAGGUGACCCUUCGUCUACUCUGAGGGGGAGGAGCUUGGGGUGGGUGUGGUGGAAAAUAGGCGUGGACAGUGAUGUCUGGUCGAGUGUGCUAUAAGAGAACAAAAAUGAAAGAAAUUAUUUUCUCAACUUUUGCUAUGUGUAGAUUAUAAUACUCUUCUACUUUAUAAAAUUGAGUAUGUUUGGUAUCUACAGUUAUACAUGUA